AUUGAACGCUGGCGGCAGGCCUAACACAUGCAAGUCGAACGAGUGGCGGACGGGUGAGUAAUGUCUGGGAAACUGCCUGAUGGAGGGGGAUAACUACUGGAAACGGUAGCUAAUACCGCAUACCAUCAGAUGUGCCCAGAUGGGAUUAGCUAGUUGGUGGGGUAAAGGCCUACCAAGGCGACGAUCAGUAGCGGGUCUGAGAGGACGAUCCUCCACACUGGGACGUGGCCACGCCCCCACCCCCUACGGGAGGCAGCAGGGGGGAAUUUUUGACAUAGGGGGCAACCCUGAUCCGGCCAUGCCGCGUGGAUGAAGAAGGCCUUCGGGUUGUAAAGUACUUUUGUUAGGGAAGCGGUACCUAAAGAAUAAGCACCGGCUAACUACGUGCCAGCAGCCGCGGUAAUAC
rnacentral:rRNA from 1 species